CAAAUGGAAGUGAGGACUUUUAAUUUGACCUCUGCCAUGUAGCAGUUCCUAUCCUUGCGGAGGCAGUGAAGUGCCAAGCCUUCAGUGCGUGCCUCCAUCAGCGUCCUUCAUUGCCAUUGCAAAAUUCUCUUUGUGCUACAGAGAACUUCAGGAAAUGUGGACAGUCAGAUCAACUGAAUUCAUUAAAGCCAUGUCCAGUGACAGGAAUGCUGAGUGACCCUCCUGGGGUUCCACUUGGUACCUCCUUUAGCAGGAUGCUGUUACUGCCUGAGCCUCCCUGCAGCAGCAGAUUCCCACUGUUCCUCCUUGUUGAAUUAAAUCCAUGGCAUGGGGUGUUUCACUCUUGUUAUCUGCUUCAAAAUAUCAAAUAUUGAUGGCUCUGUCCAGUGUUUUGCCUCAGUUGCUGUGGUUUUCUGUAUCCUGGAGUCCUGGAGAUGAGCUCAAAUAGCGAUAGCUCGGCUACUUUUUCAGCUAGUGGGACUUGAAAUACAAACUGAAUCCUCUGGCUGUCUCAUAAAGUUUCAGGGUUUCUAUUAUUAAAAUCUUCCUCUGAAAUAAUAAAUGACUACAGGCUGUCACGGCAGGGGCUAGAAAGGCCAGUGAGCAGAAUGGGCUGAGAUUUCAUCUGAGCAUAGUUGAGUUUUAUAGAUCUAUUUAUGAGAUCCAAUACUGUAAUGAUGUAAUUUUCCUUGUCUAAUAAAUGUAGCUGUACAAGCAAAGGAUAGCAAACAUUUCCAUUGUGACCAAAAUCCUUUAAACUGCAGCCACUUUGAUCUUAGAGCUCAUGCUAUUUAAUAAAUGCUGGCUAUUCUUCUAACAAUCACAAUUAUUUAAAGGGUUUUCAAAAGGGAUAGAGCAAAUCAAAUCAAACAAUUACUGUUGUAUCUCA